UCUUAUGAAUGAGCAAGAAAAGCAGUUUCUUGAGAUGAAAACUGUUCCUGGUGAGGAUGCUGAGAA
rnacentral:pre_miRNA from 1 species